rnacentral:rRNA from 1 species
GAUGAACGCUGGCGGCGUGCCUAAUACAUGCAAGUCGAGCGAACAGACGAGGAGCUUGCUCCUCUGACGUUAGCGGCGGACGGGUGAGUAACACGUGGAUAACCUACCUAUAAGACUGGGAUAACUUCGGGAAACCGGAGCUAAUACCGGAUAAUAUAUUGAACCGCAUGGUUCAAUAGUGAAAGACGGUUUUGCUGUAACUUAUAGAUGGAUCCGCGCCGCAUUAGCUAGUUGGUAAGGUAACGGCUUACCAAGGCAACGAUGCGUAGCCGACCUGAGAGGGUGAUCGGCCACACUGGAACUGAGACACGGUCCAGACUCCUACGGGAGGCAGCAGUAGGGAAUCUUCCGCAAUGGGCGAAAGCCUGACGGAGCAACGCCGCGUGAGUGAUGAAGGUCUUCGGAUCGUAAAACUCUGUUAUUGGGGAGGAACAAAUGUGUAAGUAACUAUGCACGUCUUGACGGUACCUAAUCAGAAAGCCACGGCUAACUACGUG